rnacentral:sRNA from 1 species
GGGAAGGAUGAGAAGCUUCGACUAAGGUUCGAUUCGAGCGCAGCGAGAAAGCGUUGCCGUAGGCAACGACCCGAAGGGCGAAGCGCGCAGCGCUGAGUAAUCCUUCCCCCACCACCA